rnacentral:tRNA from 1 species
GGGCCCAUGGUCUAGUGGUUAUGACGUCUCGCUUACACCGAGAAGGUCGGGAGUUCAAUCCUCCCUGGGCCCACCA